UGGGCUUGGGCAGAGGGCAAAGUGACUCGGUGACACGGGUGAGAGCUGCUCUGUGCCCACACAG
ensembl:miRNA Mir6998 microRNA 6998